rnacentral:tRNA from 2 species
GCCGAGGUAGCUCAGUCGGUAGAGCAGGUGACUGAAAAUCCCCGUGUCGGUGGUUCAAAUCCGCCCCUCGGCACCA